rnacentral:rRNA from 1 species
GUGACUGCGUACCUUUUGUAUAAUGGGUCAGCGACUUAUAUUCUGUAGCAAGGUUAACCGAAUAGGGGAGCCGGAGGGAAACCGAGUCUUAAUUGGGCGUUAAGUUGCAGGGUAUAGACCCGAAACCCGGUGAUCUAGCCAUGGGCAGGUUGAAGGUUGGGUAACACUAACUGGAGGACCGAACCGACUAAUGUUGAAAAAUUAGCGGAUGACCUGUGGCUGGGGGUGAAAGGCCAAUCAAACCGGGAGAUAGCUGGUUCUCCCCGAAAGCUAUUUAGGUAGCGCCUCGUGAAUUCAUCUCCGGGGGUAGAGCACUGUUUCGGCUAGGGGGCCAUCCCGGCUUACCAACCCGAUGCAAACUGCGAAUACCGGAGAAUGUUAUCACGGGAGACACACGGCGGGUGCUAACGUCCGUCGUGAAGAGGGAAACAACCCAGACCGCCAGCUAAGGUCCCAAAGUCAUGGUUAAGUGGGAAACGAUGUGGGAAGGCCCAGACAGCCAGGAUGUUGGCUUAGAAGCAGCCAUCAUUUAAAGAAAGCGUAAUAGCUCACUGGUCGAGUCGGCCUGCGCGGAAGAUGUAACGGGGCUAAACCAUGCACCGAAGCUGCGGCAGCGANNGUUGGGUAGGGGAGCGUUCUGUAAGCCUGUGAAGGUGUGUCGUGAGGCAUGCUGGAGGUAUCAGAAGUGCGAAUGCUGACAUAAGUAACGAUAAAGCGGGUGAAAAGCCCGCUCGCCGGAAGACCAAGGGUUCCUGUCCAACGUUAAUCGGGGCAGGGUGAGUCGACCCCUAAGGCGAGGCCGAAAGGCGUAGUCGAUGGGAAACGGGUUAAUAUUCCCGUACUUGGUGUUACUGCGAAGGGGGGACGGAGAAGGCUAUGUUGGCCGGGCGACGGUUGUCCCGGUUUAAGCGUGUAGGUGUGUGUUCCAGGUAAAUCCGGUUCACUUUAACACUGAGGCGUGAUGACGAGGCACUACGGUGCUGAAGUAACAAAUGCCCUGCUUCCAGGAAAAGCCUCUAAGCAUCAGGUAACAUCAAAUCGUACCCCAAACCGACACAGGUGGUCAGGUAGAGAAUACCAAGGCGCUUGAGAGAACUCGGGUGAAGGAACUAGGCAAAAUGGUGCCGUAACUUCGGGAGAAGGCACGCUGACACGUAGGUGAAGUGAUUUACUCAUGGAGCUGAAGUCAGUCGAAGAUACCAGCUGGCUGCAACUGUUUAUUAAAAACACAGCACUGUGCAAACACGAAAGUGGACGUAUACGGUGUGACGCCUGCCCGGUGCCGGAAGGUUAAUUGAUGGGGUCAGCGCAAGCGAAGCUCCUGAUCGAAGCCCCGGUAAACGGCGGCCGUAACUAUAACGGUCCUAAGGUAGCGAAAUUCCUUGUCGGGUAAGUUCCGACCUGCACGAAUGGCGUAAUGAUGGCCAGGCUGUCUCCACCCGAGACUCAGUGAAAUUGAACUCGCUGUGAAGAUGCAGUGUACCCGCGGCAAGACGGAAAGACCCCGUGAACCUUUACUAUAGCUUGACACUGAACAUUGAGCCUUGAUGUGUAGGAUAGGUGGGAGGCUUUGAAGUGUGGACGCCAGUCUGCAUGGAGCCGACCUUGAAAUACCACCCUUUAAUGUUUGAUGUUCUAACGUGGACCCGUGAUCCGGGUUGCGGACAGUGUCUGGUGGGUAGUUUGACUGGGGCGGUCUCCUCCUAAAGAGUAACGGAGGAGCACGAAGGUUGGCUAAUCCUGGUCGGACAUCAGGAGGUUAGUGCAAUGGCAUAAGCCAGCUUGACUGCGAGCGUGACGGCGCGAGCAGGUGCGAAAGCAGGUCAUAGUGAUCCGGUGGUUCUGAAUGGAAGGGCCAUCGCUCAACGGAUAAAAGGUACUCCGGGGAUAACAGGCUGAUACCGCCCAAGAGUUCAUAUCGACGGCGGUGUUUGGCACCUCGAUGUCGGCUCAUCACAUCCUGGGGCUGAAGUAGGUCCCAAGGGUAUGGCUGUUCGCCAUUUAAAGUGGUACGCGAGCUGGGUUUAGAACGUCGUGAGACAGUUCGGUCCCUAUCUGCCGUGGGCGCUGGAGAACUGAGGGGGGCUGCUCCUAGUACGAGAGGACCGGAGUGGACGCAUCACUGGUGUUCGGGUUGUCAUGCCAAUGGCACUGCCCGGUAGCUAAAUGCGGAAGAGAUAAGUGCUGAAAGCAUCUAAGCACGAAACUUGCCCCGAGAUGAGUUCUCCCUGAGACUUUAGGUCUCCUGAAGGAACGUUGAAGACGACGACGUUGAUAGGCCGGGUGUGUAAGCGCAGCGAUGCGUUGAGCUAACCGGUACUAAUGAACCGUGAGGCUUAACCUUACA